rnacentral:rRNA from 1 species
GGCGCACGGGUGAGUAACGCGUAUGCAACUUACCUAUCAGGAGGGGGAUAACCCGGCGAAAGUCGGACUAAUACCGCAUGAAGCAGGGGCCCCGCAUGGGGAUAUUUGCUAAAGAUUCAUCGCUGAUAGAUAGGCAUGCGUUCCAUUAGGCAGUUGGCGGGGUAACGGCCCACCAAACCGACGAUGGAUAGGGGUUCUGAGAGGAAGGUCCCCCACAUUGGUACUGAGACACGGACCAAACUCCUACGGGAGGCAGCAUG